rnacentral:lncRNA from 1 species
UGCUUGCAAACUUAGAGGAUUUAAAUUCAUCACUAGUGUUUUGAAAUCCCAGGAUGUGUUCCUGAGACAGUCUUCGUUGUUUUAUUGUCCUGGGCAUUCUGCGUCCUUUCAGUCUGGAGAUUUUUAGCUUCCUUUGCUUCUGAGUCUCUAUUUGCAGUGCCCCGAUGCUAGAAACCUGAGAUCCCAUGGCUUCUCCAGAAUGGAGGCUUGGGCAUUGUCAGCACCCUCCUUCCAAGAGUUGAAAGUUCCUCUCUUCUGGUAAGUGAGAAAACAUUUUUAUUCCUGUUUUCCAUCUUCUGCAGUUUCACUGAAAUAAUUACUUUGCUAUUGUCACUUCUCA